rnacentral:rRNA from 1 species
ACGGGAGGCAGCAGUGGGGAAUAUUGGACAAUGGGGGAAACCCUGAUCCAGCGACGCCGCGUGAGUGAAGAAGUAUUUCGGUAUGUAAAGCUCUAUCAGCAAGGAAGAAAAUGACGGUACUUGACUAAGAAGCCCCGGCUAACUACGUGCCAGCAGCCGCGGUAAUACGUAGGGGGCAAGCGUUAUCCGGAUUUACUGGGUGUAAAGGGAGCGUAGACGGCAAGACAAGUCUGGAGUGAAAUUCCGGGGCUCAACCCCGGAACUGCUUUGGAAACUGUUUAGCUGGAGUAUCGGAGAGGUAAGCGGAAUUCCUAGUGUAGCGGUGAAAUGCGUAGAUAUUAGGAGGAACACCAGUGGCGAAGGCGGCUUACUGGACGAUAACUGACGUUGAGGCUCGAAAGCGUGGGGAGCAAACAGGAUUAGAUACCCUGGUA